UGCAUUGCUUUUUAUCUUAGUCUAGGGCUACCGGGGUAGAUUCUAAAACAUUGCUAAUUGCAGAUCAUUUGAUCCUUACGCUUAAGUAAAAAUUGAUAUGUACUGUAAUACACUUUGGUUAUGCAUGACAUAUUCAUCCUUUGUUACAUUAAUUCACUUAUGAUUUUAGUCUAUUAGCCGCUUCAUCUAUAUAUACUGCUUGGUUAGUUCUCAUCUGGAAAUAUUUUUUUCUUAUUGAUUUCUAAAUUUUGGUUGGUUUAAAUCUUGGUAGUACUUGGAUUAAAACAAGUCUUUGAUUCUGAAGAUUGUGGAAAGCCAGAAUUCAGGGAAGAUUAAUGAGUGUGCUGAAUAAGCUUUAUUUGCAAACUUUGGCUAUUCUUACAUGAUUCAUAAUUGUGUCUCUGCUUGGUAAUUUUGCAAACUAGUGCGAAAUGGUGGUAUGCAAAACGAUUUCUACAUCCUGACAUUGUGGCACCAUAUGAUUACAUAUUUAUCUUGGACGAAGAUUUGGGAGUGGAUAAUUUUGAUUCUGAAAAAUACGUUGAUUUGGUUAAGAAACAUGGUUUGGAAAUUUCACAGCUUGG